rnacentral:rRNA from 1 species
GAUGAACGCUAGCGGGAGGCCUAACACAUGCAAGCCGAGCGGUAUUGUUUCUUCGGAAAUGAGAGAGCGGCGUACGGGUGCGUAACACGUGUGCAACCUGCCUUUAUCUGGGGGAUAGCCUUUCGAAAGGAAGAUUAAUACUCCAUAAUAUAUUGAACGGCAUCGUUUAAUAUUGAAAGCUCCGGCGGAUAGAGAUGGGCACGCGCAAGAUUAGCUAGUUGGUGAGGUAACGGCUCACCAAGGCGAUGAUCUUUAGGGGGCCUGAGAGGGUGAUCCCCCACACUGGUACUGCGACCCGGACCCGACUCCUACGGGAGGCGGCAGUGAGGAAUAUUGGUCACUGAGUGCUAGCCUGAACCAGCCAUCCCGCGUGAAGGACGACUGCCCUCUGGGUUGUAAACUUCUUUUGUAUAGGGAUAAACCUACCCUCGAGAGGGUAGCUGACGGUACUAUACGAAUAAGCACCGGCUAACUCCGUG